rnacentral:rRNA from 1 species
UACGAAGGGGGCUAGCGUUGCUCGGAAUUACUGGGCGUAAAGGGCGCGUAGGCGGAUACUUAAGUCGGGGGGUGAAAGCCCGGGGCUCAACCUCGGAAUUGCCUUCGAUACUGGGUAUCUAGAGUAUGGGAGAGGUGUGUGGAACUCCGAGUGUAGAGGUGAAAUUCGUAGAUAUUCGGAAGAACACCAGUGGCGAAGGCGACACACUGGCCCAUUACUGACGCUGAGGCGCGAAAGCGUGGGGAGCAAACAGG